rnacentral:lncRNA from 1 species
ACUUUGCCGUUGCUCCUGCGCAAAGGCCUCUGGUUGAAGCCGUUGGUGGGCAGUGCUGCUGCGUGUUCUUGGAGGACUCCUUUGGACCCUGGGGCUGUAAGCUCAAGCGGGUUGUUGUUUCAAAUGAAAAGCAAUAUAGAAUGUGAUCAUAUAUGAGAGAUGAAUCAGAGAUGUGCCCUGUUCUUGAAAUACUCCUGGAUAGGGUCAUGCUGCAGUUAAAGCAGGUGUUAACUAUGGGGGACCAGUUGACCAGUGAUUAGUUCCGAUUGUUUCCUGCCUUUUAGGUUCCUGGGUAUCACACACUUGGUAACACUUCUGCCUAAGAAAUUAAACUCUCAGCUCUCUGUGGACAUUCCCAUUGGCUAAUCUUCACUUGAACAUACAAUACCUAAAAUAAGAAAUCGGUCAGCUUUGAAUAUCUCGGACUUGUUGACAGAUCGUCUCCAUAUUUCAUUUCUGUAGCUAUCUAUGUCUUGUAUGUCUGGCUGUUUCAGAUGACAGUAUUUCUUGAGACAUCUUACUGGAGAAGUGGUGCCCAUGCCUAAGAGACUGAGGGGGCAGUAACACCAAUUGACUCUCCUUGCACCAUAUACUCAGCAGUGGAGGUAGGGGCUUGAGAAGCCCCUUGCCAUGGUCACUAGACGCCUACCAGGAGAAAUGUCCAGAGUGAGGAAGUUCUCUAAAUUCCACAUAUAGUCUUCUCCAACAACAAAGGGUCAGGCUCUGGCCCUACUUCUCUGCCAAUCAGCAGGAGCCUCUUCCACCAAGGAGAUCUGAAAACAAGAGGUUUUGUGCUCUUUCGGGCACUGUUGUCCCUGGAGGAUGAUAUCAGAGAGUGGAGAGCAAUGUGCUGAAGAUACAGACCAGAGCAGAAGAGCACAGAGCCAGGAGUCAGAAGCCCCUGAAUCAAAGAACCAUGGAGUGCUGGUGAUUACCAAGGAAACUGAGAAGAAACAGCAGACUUUAGAGAACCUUCAUGCACUGUGAGAAUGUCAAUUCAGCUGGCUGGCUUCAGGUUUACCUGUCAGCCGAGCAGCCAGUGGUCCUGAAGGCAGAGCAAGGAACCCAGAGGACCUGGGUUUGAUCAAGUUAGAGGUAGCAAUAAAACUGAUAAGCCAUG